UGUUAAAAAUUUUAUUCAUUUCUACUGUUAAAAAAUUGACAUUGUUGAUAGAAUAAUCAGAUAAUUCAUGUGGCGUGCCACAUAUACCUCAUUCUAACAUAUAAUGAGUAAUUUUUAACAAGAGAAAUGAAUGAAAAUUUCACCA
rfam:Gossypium raimondii Chr11_contig_30, whole genome shotgun sequence.